UACGGAAGGCAGCAGUGGGGAAUAUUGCACAAUGGGCGAAAGCCUGAUGCAGCUAUGCCGCGUGUAUGAAGAAGGCCUUAGGGUUGUAAAGUACUUUCAUCGGGGAGGAAAAACAAAACUAAUAAUUUUAUUUCUUGACGUUACCCGAAAAAGAAGCACCGGCUAACUCCGUGCCAGCAGCCGCGGUAAUACGGAGGGUGCUAGCGUUAAUCAGAAUUACUGGGCGUAAAGAGCACGUAGGUGGUUUUUUAAGUUAGAUGUGAAAUCCCUGGGCUUAACCUGGAACUGCAUUUUGAAACUGAAAUACUAGAGUAUCGUAGAGGGAGGUAGAAUUCUAGGUGUAGCGGUGAAAUGCGUAGAUAUCUGGAGGAAUACCUGUGGCGAAAGCGGCCUCCUAAACGAAUACUGACACUGAGGUGCGAAAGCGUGGGGAGCAAACAGGGAUUAGAUACC
rnacentral:rRNA from 1 species